AAAGCCUGAUGGAGCAACGCCGCGUGAGUGAAGAAGGAUUUCGGUUCGUAAAACUCUGUUGUAAGGGAAGAACAAGUACAGUAGUAACUGGCUGUACCUUGACGGUACCUUAUUAGAAAGCCACGGCUAACUACGUGCCAGCAGCCGCGGUAAUACGUAGGUGGCAAGCGUUGUCCGGAAUUAUUGGGCGUAAAGCGCGCGCAGGUGGUUUCUUAAGUCUGAUGUGAAAGCCCACGGCUCAACCGUGGAGGGUCAUUGGAAACUGGGAGACUUGAGUGCAGAAGAGGAUAGUGGAAUUCCAAGUGUAGCGGUGAAAUGCGUAGAGAUUUGGAGGAACACCAGUGGCGAAGGCGACUAUCUGGUCUGUAACUGACACUGAGGCGCGAAAGCGUGGGGAGCAAACAGGAUUAGAUACCCUGGUAGUCCACGCCGUAAACGAUGAGUGCUAAGUGUUAGGGGGUUUCCGCCCCUUAGUGCUGCAGCUAACGCAUUAAGCACUCCGCCUGGGGAGUACGGUCGCAAGACUGAAACUCAAAGGAAUUGACGGGGGCCCGCACAAGCGGUGGAGCAUGUGGUUUAA
rnacentral:rRNA from 1 species